rnacentral:lncRNA from 1 species
UUGACAUAUGCGCUGACGUACUGGUUGGAGACGCAAUGAAAAGAGGCAUCUCUGGUGGCCAGAAGAAAAGAUUGACCACAUGUAGUUUGAAUUCAGUAAUGGCAGUUUUAGUAUUACUAAUGCGAUUUCCCAAUCAAAAAAAUGUCAUUUUUAACUUCAAUUAGUAGUAUAAAUGGUGAGAAAUAAAUAUAUUUCGUGUUGACUUUGUCCAUUUCUCCCACACAGCUGAAGCAUUCCAAAUACAUGCAUAUUUAACUUUGCAAUUGUGCCUACCGGCUUUUGUUUCUGCACUACUACCUGUUAUAUUUAAUCUUAAUGAUUUUUAUAACACUGUUAUAUUUAAUCUUAAUGAUAUUUAAUCAAUUUAGGUUUAUUUAAAAGCUACUAACAGAGAUGAUGUGCUAUAUUGUGUUGCUUUUGUUGAGACGCUGUCUCUAUGACAGUGAUGAUGAGGUCAGUUGUAUUUUUAUUUGAAGUCUAUAGUUUAUGAUUCUUAUACACUGUAGUGAUAUUUUAUACUUGUUUAGAAGUUGGUGCAUAAAUUGGAUCUUCUGGUUUGUUUUCCUUGUUCAUUAUGGUUUAUUCUUUUCACAUUCACAAGCUUAUCAUUUGAUUCAAAAUUUCAAGGAUUAUUGAAUAAAGAUUGAAACUUUAAGCAUUUUUCUUGGGUAGUUGGAUGUAUAGGCUCAUGUUAUCUUCUGACUAUUGCAGUGAAUUUUGGUGUAUUGUGAAAUUAUUGAAAAAAAGUCUUACUGACAUGCAGAAGGUAUUACUCAGCUAGGUACCUUAAGGUCCACUGUAUUAGAGGCUGAAUACUAUGUAGUUUGGACAUUGUCAAUAUGAGCACUACUCUAGUAUGUAAAUGUACUUCAUGAUAUUCAUACCGAAUAAUCCCUGGUCAUAAUCAUACCAAGUCCAUCUAUGCACGUAAGCCAAAGAUGAUUUUCAUCACAAUAUAAGCAUGAGGAUGAUGACAAUGACAUAAUAAUUCAAUAAAACAAGUUCAAUGAUAAAAUUUAAAGAUUUAUAAUUUAAUUUAUCCAGGAAUCAAUAAUGUCCAAAUUGUCAACAUGAUACUGCUUUGUGAGGUAAAAUUCAAGAAUGCUCAGAAGAAUAUUUCUAUGAAAAGAUACUGGAUGAAGCGUAAAUAUCCAAGAUAUUCUACUAAUUUCAUGGAGUAUAGAAGUCAAAACUUUAACCAACUGAGUAUAAUAGAAUAUAUGAAACUGCAAAUGAAUUUUCGCCCGCCAUGCGGUAAUCCACGUAGACAGAUCAUUUCCACAAUUUAAUAAGGAAUGAAUACGAAGGAUCAUUCACCAUGCAUGCGGUAAUCCACAUAGACAGGUUAUUCUAACAGAAUAAUAAAGAAUGGAAUAACAGAAGAAUUCACCAUGCAUUCGAUAGACCGCACAGACAUGUUAUUUUAAUAGAAUAAUAAAGAAUGAAACCAGAUCAUGCGUAAUCCGCACAGACAGGAUAUUCCAACAGAAUAAUAAAGAAUGAAAUAACAACAAUAUUCACCAGGCAUGCGAUAGACUGCACAGACAGGUUAUUCCAACAGAAUAAUAAAGAAUGAAAUAACAACAAAAUUCACCAGGCAUGCGAUAGACCGCACAGACAGGUUAUUCCAACAGAAUAAUAAAGAAUGGAAUAACAGAAGAAUUUUACCAUGUAUGCGGUACUUCGCAUAGACAUGUUAUUCCAACAUAAUAAUAAAGAAUGGAAUAACAACCCUUACGAGUAUUGAAAGAAAAUAACUCUCUUCAUGAAUACGAAAGAAUAAUACCCCUUACCUUAGAAGAAAACUGGAUACUGGAAUAGUGAGGUAGCAGACUUCUCUUCUUCUUUCUCUCUAUAAUUUCUCUCUAUAAUAAUUGCUCUAUAGCUUUAGUGAAUUGGUGAGAAAUGAAGGAAGAAUGAGCUUCUAUUUAUAGGAAAAUAUAGUUUCGAUAAUUGCACGUUUUGGGGCUCGAAAUAUUACAGUAUAAUACCUUCCUCUUUUUCUUCAUUUUUAAUUUAGUCCUGCAAGUAUUAUCAAACUUGCACCACCUCCCCUAAUAGUAAAUAAUGUGAAUCAAUAGUUCAAUCAUGUGAAUCAAUAGUUAUAAUCAUGUGAAAAUACGAAUUACAGUAUAGUACCUCCAUCUAUACCUCUAUUUUUAACUUAGUCAUGCAAGUAUUAUCAAUCUUGCACCAACUCCCCUAAUAGUAAAUCAUGUGAAUCAAUAGUACACACAUGUGAACACAUAGUUAUAAUCAUGUGAAUUAAUAACAAUUAAUUGCUCAUUUAUCCGGUACCCGAUUGGUCAACAUAACCUCCAGACAUCAAUUAUUAUCUAAAUAAAUGUCGAUUUCUACUAACACUAAUAAUUCCAACACAAUGAAACUAUCAAUUUCAUCUUUAAUCAACACAAACUUAUUCAUGAUUAAUAUUAUAACUCAUAAUAUUUAACAACCAGGUCGUUCCCAGGAAAGAGGGGGCUUUCCGAUAAGGAUUUCUCCCUAUUAGCGCGCAAUUAGAUUAUCUAACCUCUCCUUGACAGAACUUAUAGACAUUGUAAAUAUUGCAAUUUAAUAAUAUGAAUAACUUUGUCAUCUCAAUUAUUGAUUUAAUAAUAUAUCGUAUUAUGCAGAUGAUACUGUGAAAAUAAUUGAAUCAAUAAUAUGAAAGAUAUGAUGCGGCAAUUACUGCAGCAAUAAUUGAGUAUAACUGAGUGUCUUCUUACGUAAGCAUCAAUAAUCAAUACCGUGUGCUACUAUGCAACCACGCGUAUUACUGUACUUUUACUACCAGGUAGUUCAACAGUUUUAACGGUAACACUUUCGCUGUUAUUUUUAUAAAAAAAUAAUUCUGUCGUUUUCUAAAUACGACAAUACUUCCGUUGUGGAGUCCACCAAUGAUUGUGCCGUCGUACGGAUAUUCCCGACAAAAAGAAUAUUCCCCGACCAAACGAAUAUUUUAUAACAACUUGCAUACUUUGCAAAAUUUAUAAAUAUUACCCACAACUAUAACAUUAUAUCAAAUCCACACCAUAAUAUUCAAAAAUAUAUUUCAAAAAAAAUAUUCUUUAUUCAUAAAAGUUGGGGUCUUACAUAUAUAUUACGGAAUAACAAUCUUAAAGCAAAUUUAAUGAUUCUGUAAUUGUAGUAUUAUUUAAUCUGUUUAUUUAUGUGAACAGAAGAUCAGUUUUAAAACAAAUUUUCUAUAGAAAUAUAAUUAUGUAGAAACAGUAUUUAAACAGAAUAAAAUUACAUAGUAUUAUGUUAAUAUAAAGUAUUCUGUUAUUAUAUAUAUUACAGAAAUAUUAUAUAUAUUACAUGUUAACUGAUUUAUAUAUUCUGUUAUUAUAUAUGUUCCAUGUUAAUUGAAUGCAUUUUAAUAUUCUGUUAUUGUUUAAAUUUAUAUGAGUAGUACAGUAUUGUGUACUAUAGGAGUAAUAAAUCAAUAAAUGCAAAUUGCAAUAGCAUGUGAUUGUCAAAACUUAUCCAACUAUAGAAUGCAAAUCUAUUAAACAGAAAUUUAUAAACAGAAUUUGGAUUUCUGCUAAACAAAAUUUGUUGCUUGAAUUUUGCAAACAAAUUUUGUUGUUUGAAUUCUGUUAAAUUUUGUAAAACAGAAAAUUUUGUUUCUAUUUAUUCAUAAUUUUCUUCUUUGUAUAACAGAAAUGACAUCUACUAGUACCAUUCCUGCCGUGAGUAUGUCUCAUGGAGAAAAGACUGAAAAGUUCAAUGGAACUGAUUUCAAGCGUUGGCAACAAAAGAUGCUCUUCUAUCUCACAACAUUGAAUUUGGCAAGGUUUCUAAAAGAGGAUUGUCCUACUCUUGUUGAAGGAGAAACAGACAAAAAAAAAGUGGCUGCAGUUGAUGCAUGAAAAUAUGUAGAUUUCUUUUGUAGAAAUUAUGUGAUGAAUGGAUUAGAAAAUACACUGUAUAAUUUGUAUUGUACAAUUCAAAUUGCAAAGAAACUUUAGGAAUCUUUAGACAAGAAAUAUAAAACUGAAGAUGGUGACAUGAAAAAAUUCAUUGUUGGUAGAUUUCUUGACUAUAAAAUGGUAGAUUCUAAAGCAGUCAUCACUCAAGUUCAAGAAUUACAAGUAAUUCUACAUGAUAUUCAUUCUGAAGGAAUGUCAUUAAGUGACGCAUUCCAGGUUGCUACAAUGAUUGAGAAACUUCCACAAUCAUGGAAAGACUUCAAGAAUUAUCUUAAGCAUAAACGCAAAUAGAUGAAUCUUGAAGAACUGAUUGUGCGACUUAGGAUUGAAGAGGACAAUCGAGGAUCUGAGAAGAAGAUUGAAAAAAAUUUCAUUGAAGCAAAGGUUAAUGUGGUAGAACAAAGGUCAAAUAAUAACAACAAAAGGAAGCGUGAAGGCAAAGAUACUUUCAAGGCCAAGAAAAAAUUCAAAGACAAAUGCUUCAACUGUGGCAUUCCAGGACAUAAAUCAAAUGAAUGUUGCAAGCCAAAGAAAUUCAAGAAAGAACAAAAGACUCAAGCAAAUGUGACAGAACUGGAAAAACUUUCUGAAAAUAUUUUAGACAUUAAUAUCUCCGUAGUUGUAUCUGAGUGUAACUUAAUAGGAAACCCCAAAGAAUGGUGGGUGGACACUGGGGCUACUCGCCAUAUUUUUUCCAACAAAUGGAUGUUUUCUACCUACAAACCAGUAGAAAAUGAUGAGCAACUCUUCAUGGAAAACUCCUCAAGUUCAAAGGUUCAAGAACGUGGAAAGAUUGUACUGAAAAUGACAUCUGGCAAAGAACUGACUUUGAAUGAAGUGUUUCAUGUGCCAGAUAUCCGCAAAAAUUUAGUUUCUGGGUCACUACUUAGCAAGAAUGGCUUCAAAUUGGUGUUUGUGUCUAAUAAAUUUAUACUUACCAAAAAUGAUGUUUGUGGAAAAGGGCUAUAUGUUUGAUGAGCUCUUUAAGAUGAAUGUAAUGACUGUUGUACCAAAGUCUAUUGAUAAUAAUAAAAUUAAUUCUUCUGCUUACUUGUUAGAAUCUUCAAAUAUAUGACAUGCUAGAUUAGGACAUGUUAAUUAUAAUACAAUACGUAGAUUAAUUAAUUUAGAAUUCUUGCCUAAAUUUGAUAUUAAUCAAAAAAAUAAAUGUGAAAUUUGUGUGGAGUCAAAAAUGACAAGAUUACCUUUUCAUUCUGUUGAAAGAAAAAUUGAACCUCUAGAUUUAAUUCACACUGAUAUAUGUGACUUAAAGUUUGUGCAAACAAGAGGUGGAAAAAAAAUAUUCCGUUGCCUUUAUUGAUGAUUGCACAAGAUAUUGUUAUGUAUAUUUGCUGAGAAGCAAAGAUGAGGCUAUAGAAAUGUUUCAACUUUAUAAAAAUGAAGUUAAAAAUGAACUUAGCAAAAAGAUUAAAGCAAAAAGAAGCGAUAGAGGUGGUGAAUAUGAAUCACCAUUUGAAGAGAUAUGCUCUACUCAUGGUAUUAUUCACCAAACUGCCGCACCUUAUUCACCUCAAUCUAACGGUAUUGCUGAACGCAAGAAUCGAAAAUUGAAAGAAAUGUUGAAUGCUAUGUUAACUAGUUCUGGAGCACCCUAGAAUUUGUGGAGGGAAGCUUUGCUUUCUGCAAAUUAUAUUCUUAACAAAGUGCCUCAUAAGAAAACUCACAAAACACCUUAUAAAUUAUGGAAAGGUCAUAGACCUUGCUAUAAAUACUUAAGAGUGUGGGGGUGUGUAGCAAAAGUGAUGCUUACUAAACCUAAAAAGGUAAAGAUAGGACCAAAAAUAAUUGACUGUGAGUUCAUUGGUUAUGCAAAUAAAGUAGUGCUUAUCGUUUUCUAGUUCAUAAAUCUGAAAUUCCUGAUGUUCAUGUUAAUACUUUUGUUAAAUCAAGAGAUGCAUCGUUCUUUGAGAAUGUGUUUCCAUAUAAUAUAAAUAAAGAGUCAAAUUCAUACAAAAGACCUUUGGAUGCUACUAGUAAUAAUCCUGAAAAUAUAGACAAAAAGUCUAUAGUGGAUGAACCUAGACAUAACAAAUGGGCAAAGACUUCAAAGUCUUUUGGUCCAAAUUUUCAAAUAUUUUUGUUAGAAAACGAUCCUUAAACAUACAAGGAAGCAAUAUCCUCUCCAGAUGCUUCUCAUUGGAAAGAAACAAUUAAUAGUGAAAUUGAGUCCAUUAUGCACAAUUAUACAUGGGAAUUGGUGAAUCUUCCACCUGGUUCCAAACCCUUAGGAUAUAAAUGGAUAUUCAAAAAGAAGAUGAAAGUUGAUGGUUCAAUUGAUAAAUAUAAAGCAAGGCUUGUUUUUAAAAGCUAUAGACAAAAGGAAGGAUUGAAUUAUUUCGACACUUAUUCACUAGUUACAAGAAUUACAUCUAUUCGUAUGCUAAUAGCAAUAGCAUCAUUAAAUAGACUUGAAAUACAUCAAAUGGAUGUAAAAAAUGCAUUUUUAAAUGGUAAAUUAGAUGAAGAAAUAUAUAUAGAACAACCUGAAGGUUUCAUUGCUCCUGGACAAGAGAGGAAAGUAUGCAAACUUGUUAAAUCCUUGUAUGGAUUGAAACAAGCACCAAAACAAUGACAUGAGAAAUUUGAUAAUGUUAUAUUAACAAAUGGAUUUAAAAUCAAUGAGUGUGACAAAUGUGUUUAUGUCAAAAGCACUCAUAAGGAAUAUGUUAUUGUUUGUCUUUAUGUGGAUGAUAUGUUAAUCAUGGGUAGCAACAAUGAAGUUAUCAACUCUACCAAAUGUAUGUUGUCAAAUAAAUUUGAUAUGAAAGACUUGGGGGUUGCGAAAAUAAUAUUAGGAAUCAAGAUUUCCAGAAUAUCUGAUGAAAUUAUAUUAUCUCAAACUCAUUACAUUGAAAAAUACUUGAAAAAUUUAACAAGUAUAAUAUAAUUCUAAAUAAGAUCCCAGUUGAUAUAAAUCUUCAUUUAGCCAAAAAUAAAGGUGAUAGCAUAUCUCAACUAGAAUAUUCUCGUAUAAUAGGCAGUUUAAUGUAUGUCAUAAACUGUACUAGACCAGAUAUAUCUUAUUUGGUAAGUAAGCUAAGUCGGUAUAUGAGUAAUCCAGGUAAAGAUCACAGGAAAGCUAUUUUUAGAGUUUAGGGAUAUUUAAAACAUACUCAAAAUUAUGGACUGCACUAUACAAGAUAUCCAACAGUAUUGGAAGAAUAUAGUGAUGCUAAUUGGAUAUCUGAUAAUAAAGACUCAAAAUUCACAAGUGGAUAUGUCUUUACCCUUGGAGGUACAGCGGUAUCUUGGAAAUCCUCAAAACAAAUGUGUAUUGCAAGGUCUACAAUGGAAUCAAAAUUCAUUGCGUUAGACAAAGCUAGAGAAGAAGCAGAGUGGCUUCGCAAUUUCCUAGAGGAUAUUCCAAAUUGGUCAAGACCUGUGCCAGCUAUAUGUAUACACUGUGAUAGCCAAUCAGCAAUUGGAAGAGCACAUAGUCAUUUAUAUAACGGUAAGUCACGCCAUAUACGACGAAGACAUAAUACCGUUAGACAAUUGCUCUCAAAUGAAAUUAUCUCAAUUGACUAUGUAAAGUCAAAAGAUAAUAUUACAGAUUCGCUUACAAAAGGUUUAACAAGAGAGCAAGUGGAAAGUUCAUCGAAGGGAAUGGGUUUAAAGCCUAUUGUUUAAAUAAGAGUCGUCAUAGUGGCAACCCAACCUAGCUGACUGGAGAUCUCAAGAUCUAGGUUCAAUGGGCAAACCGAACUAUGUAGUACUGAGUAAAUCAUUGAGGAGAUAUUUACUCCUAACCAUUCCUAUUAUGAGACAGUGCACAUCUGCCGCGAGAACCAGGAUAAGUUACAUUUUUAAUGACUUUUAUAUCUUGAAAUACGUUCAAAUGGAGUAUUGCAGAAUACUUUUGAUAGAAUUUACCUACGUGAGUAAAAAGGGGGCCACUUCUAUGAGAAUUUGAAGGCUGAAUUCUCUAAUAUACUCACAGAACCAAGAGGUGUUUCAAGGCCAAAAUGAACACAAACGUGAGAACCAAUUAUAUCUGAAGAAAUAUUUUUUGAAUUCUAUUGUCUUGAUUUACACGAAAAAACUAACAGUUCAAAGACAUCAAGUCUACUGAUUAGCUUAGUAAAUCCGAUAGACUUUACUAGGGCAAGUUCAAAGCCACUAGGCUACUUAACCCGAUGAAGUAUCUUUUCUCAUGUACUCGAACUAGUAUCUGCAUAUUCAUAACAUUUAUUUAUUUUUCUCUUUUUUUCCAUGUUGUAAAGUCAAUUUUACAUUCAUGUGGGGGAUUGUUGGAAAUGAGUUUGGACAAAAUAAAUAUUUAAGCAUUUUGAGGCUUAAUUUAAUGUGGGACCCACACUUCGAAAAUGUCGGGUCUUUGCACUAAUGCGUUCUCCUUCGCGAGGAGUAUAACAUGGUAUAUUUAUGUGUUUAAAUCCAUUAAGAAUUGAAUGAGAAAAUUGACUCCAAAGUCACCUACUUGAAAUGUUAAAAAUUGUAAAAGUCCCACAUAGGGCAUUAGAGGAAAAAAUGAAGAAUUUAUAUAUAGGAUGUUUGCUCAAUGGAAAGGGCCCCAAGGGGCACCCCACUUUUGUGGAAAGCAGAUGACCUAGCCAAGGCUUAGUUCGAACCCACACGCGUGCGCCGCUGCCGUCCGGACGGGCGGAUUGGGACGUGAUAUAUAAUUUUUUGGACAAAAUCUGUUUAAAAUUAUCAUCACAAUACUACGUCGUUUUGACGAACAGUUGCACGCCAACGGUAAUAUCCCAACUGAUAAACCGCGAAAUUAUUCUAUAAAUAAUCCAUCUGGGCGCGCAUUAUAACAGAAGUUUAAUUUUCCCGUUUUGUUUUCCUUCCCUUUUCUGCAAAAUUUCCCGUUCCGCUCUCUGCCAAAGUUUAGACAAACACUGUGCAGUAAGUUUUUUCUUUAUUCCUUCCUAGUUUUUCUUCAUGCAUCAUUACUAUUCAUUCCUUCCAGUUCAGUACAUAACAUAGAAUUGCUUUCGAAGUGUUCUUAAUUUUGAAGUGCUUCUAAUUAAGAACUGGAAAUCCGUUUUAUCUUGGGAAACAAUUAUUCAAUUAAUCCUUUAGCACCAGUGAGAAAAUAAAUUUGCUUUAAGAAGACUUUAUGAAUUCAAAGGACUCGGAUUUAUCUAUUUUAUAUUUCCAAAAAAUUCUAACUUCAAUUUUCAAGAGUCUAAUAUUUUUCAUUUUAUAAUUCUAUUUUGUUUUACUUAACUUUUUGUUAUUAUAUAUAUAUAUAUAUAUAUAUAUAUAUAUAUAUAUGUGUAUAUAUAUAUAUAUUACAGAAUAACACUUGUUACUAUUAGGAUUUUUUUAUUUUCUUUGCCAUGGUCCAUGUUAUCACAUUCUAACAUGUUAUUAUUUACUUUUAGCAUAUACAAAUUCAUAUACAUACAUAUUUAAUCCAUAAAAUAUAUCUUAGGAAUUAGUUUAGGGUUUUAACUACUCUCGAAACUGUUUAAUUCAUAAUUAAUUUCUCUAGAACUCCGAUUGUGGUCCAAUUUUUGGCAGAACCUCCCCUAUAAUAUCAUUUUUCUCUACUUAGGAGUCCAGGGUCAGCCUUGCCCUCAAACUCCACCACAAACAAGCAAUUUAAAUUCUGCCAUGUUCAGAUCAGCCUACUUACGGAAUUCAUAAUUAGAAGAAUUCCCAAAUUCUCAGAAAACGUAGCUAACUUUCAUGUCUAUAACAUAUAAAAAAAUCAGAUUUUAUCUCCUUAUGGUUUAGGAGUUAUAACUUUCAUAAAAAUAGGACAGAAACUGCCUUGUUUUCUCUUUUUUAAGUUUUUCCAAGUUUGCUUGUUUUAUAUUUUUGAUUUCUCUUUCAUGAUCCAAGGUUACAUACCAUUAACAUCUUUACAUGUUAAAAGUUUCAAAGAUUUCAUAAGGAAAAAAUUUACAAAAUUUUCUAUGAAUGAAAAGUGAGUUAAUUUAGGGUUUACCUUACCUAGCUACUUUAGUUUUUCCUUUCUUCUUCUCCUCCUUGCGUCCUAACUUCAAACCUUCUCUUCUUUCUCUGUUUUGUGAGCGCUCUUCUCUCUCUCUCUUGUUUCAGCGGCGCUUGGUGAGGGGUGUGUAUGGGUUUAUUUUCAUUUUUCUUUUGGGAUAAGCUUUGAUCUCAAAAUAUCUUGGGAGGCUUAUUGGAGAAGCCUCCUCCCCCCUAUCCUUAUCGCUUGGCUGAAAUUUGUAUAGUAUCUCUAAUUCUUUCUC